rnacentral:lncRNA from 1 species
UCCUUGCCGUUAUGCUGUUGCAUUUCACGUGGAGAUUGUUGACACCUCGACACUCUGACGGAAACCGCCCGCGCUGGGUGGUGUAAGUCGAAAGAUAGGCGUGGAUCCAACACGCUUAGUGACCCACUACCCCCUCCCGGGGUUUCUGUCUGCUAACUCUUCUAGUGCUGCUAGCAAUGCGGGUGGCGGGAGUGAAGAGGACCCCACAUCCAGCUACGAAACUCUGCCGAGAUUCCAAUCCGCAGCACUUCGAUAUUCCCG